rnacentral:rRNA from 1 species
GUCGAACGGUAACAGGUCUUCGGACGCUGACGAGUGGCGAACGGGUGAGUAAUACAUCGGAACGUGCCCAGUCGUGGGGGAUAACUACUCGAAAGAGUAGCUAAUACCGCAUACGAUCUGAGGAUGAAAGCGGGGGACCUUCGGGCCUCGCGCGAUUGGAGCGGCCGAUGGCAGAUUAGGUAGUUGGUGGGAUAAAAGCUUACCAAGCCGACGAUCUGUAGCUGGUCUGAGAGGACGACCAGCCACACUGGGACUGAGACACGGCCCAGACUCCUACGGGAGGCAGCAGUGGGGAAUUUUGGACAAUGGGCGAAAGCCUGAUCCAGCAAUGCCGCGUGCAGGAUGAAGGCCUUCGGGUUGUAAACUGCUUUUGUACGGAACGAAAAAGCUUCUCCUAAUACGAGAGGCCCAUGACGGUACCGUAAGAAUAAGCACCGGCUAACUACGUGCCAGCAGCCGCGGUAAUACGUAGGGUGCGAGCGUUAAUCGGAAUUACUGGGCGUAAAGCGUGCGCAGGCGGUUAUGUAAGACAGAUGUGAAAUCCCCGGGCUCAACCUGGGAACUGCAUUUGUGACUGCAUGGCUAGAGUACGGUAGAGGGGGAUGGAAUUCCGCGUGUAGCAGUGAAAUGCGUAGAUAUGCGGAGGA